AGGAUAGACAGGGAAUCAUGUGUCUGGUAACAGGGUUCUGGGUCAUAUAUUACUGCAGGAAAAAUCAGGGAAAGAGCAGUGACAGAAGCUGUCCUCCCCUGAAAAUCACCAGUCUGCUCCGAGCAGCUUCCAGUGAAUUUGUAUUGAUCCAUAUAAUAUAGGUAUUGGGCUCUCUGAUCACUUCUACUCUCAAUGGCAGGGAUAUUUACUGAGAAGAUAUAGCAGGACUAGAAGAGCAUUUAUCCCAGCAGUCCAGAGUACCUUCUCCCCUAUAUUACUUUGGCACUCAUAGAGGGAUCCAACAUUGGAUUCUACGCCCAGUUUUGCAGGAGAAGCUGCUUGGUGCCAGGUGUGGUGCUGGAAAGGAAGGUGGAAUGAGAAUCAUAUGGAGAGAAGCAGGCCAAGGUCUGGGACUUGGUCCAAAAAGAAAUCUCCAGGUUCUGGGCUGGGACAUCCUAGUUUGAUCUCAAACUUCAGCAGAGCACACAUUACAUCUGGGCUGAUCCCUGAUGUUCAGUAAGGUGAGUGUGAGGGCAGUACAAAAAGAUUCAAUUCAUUCAUUGAGUGCCUGCUCUGCACACGGCAGGUAGUGCCAAUGAGUAAAACUGAUCUUCCUGCAUUGAGGUCCCCCUCUCCAAUCCUGCCCCCCUCCAAUUCCUCUUCUAUGGAGUUGCCAAACUGAUUUUUACUAAAGUCUAGAUUUCACCGGGUCACUCUCCUGCUAAAGAGCCGUCAGUGACUCCCUAUUGUCUCUUAGGAAAAAAACAAAUCCUCUGUCCUUUAAAGCUCUUUUCAUCUGUCUCCCGACUAUCUCUCCAGGCUGAUUACACAUUAUUUCCCUUUGCACAGUUUAUGUUCCAGCUAAAUUGGCCUAUUUGUGGAUCUUACCAUGUCCCAUUCCAUUUCCUGCCUCUGACUUUUGGACAGGCCAUUCUUUAAUACUCUUCCUCCGGACCUUUGCUUCUCAGAAUCCUUAACUCCCUUCAUCACUUAGAUCCAAGUGCCAGCUUCUACAUGAAUCCUAGCCUGAGCUGCCCGAUUGUUAAUUCUCUACUAUCUAAAAGCGCUUAGUACUUGCUUAUUUAUGUACAUGUCAUUUCUCCCUCCCUCCUCCCCCAGUAGAACAUAAGCUCUUUGGGAACAGAGAGUCAGCAUAGUUCUGGCAUGUAGUAGGAACUUAAUAAAUGAGAGCUGGGUCCUGAAGCUGUGAUUUUAUUCGUAUAGGGACCAUCCUUGAUGAGAAAAUUCCUUCUUUCAAGGCAGGCCAACCCUUUUUUAUUGUCUUAGAGAGAUUGAGGACUCGCCUGUGGUUGCUCAGCCAGCAUCUGUGGGACUUGAAACUGGGCUUUGGCCCAUGCUAUGUGGUGAUCCACUCUGCCUCUAAGGUACCACUCACCCCUACUUGGAGCCUCAUUGGACCUCUGGGAAGCAGGCAGGUGCCGGGUGUUAGGGAUGAUAAAGACCCUAUAGACAUCACCGAAAUUUACUGAUGAUUCUCAAAUCUACCUUUUUUGCCCCAAUCUGUGCUGACCUCUAAUCUCACAUUUUCAGACAUCUCAAAAUGGAGGUCUAUCUUAAACUCAACAUAUUCCCAAACUAAACUCAUUGUUUUUCCCUCAAAACCCUCCCUCUCCCUUCCCUCCCUGUUUCUAUAGAGAACAAUUCUAGAGGUAAGCCUGCUGGACUCCUCACUAUCUCUCAUUCCUUUCCCCAGAUCAAGGCUAUUGUCAAGUCCAUUUCACCUCUGCAGCAUCUCUCAUCAGUUUUAGCUCUGAAGCAUCUUUUGCAAAUUCACCUCUCCAGUAUCAUUUGUAAAUUUCACCUCUCCAGCAUCUCUUGUAGAUUUCAUUUCUCCAGCAUCUCUUGUAGAUUUCAUUUCUCCAGCAUCUCUUGUAGAUUUCACCUCUCCAGCAUCUCUUGUAGAUUUCACCUCUCCAGCUUCUCUUGUAGAUUUCACCUCUCCAGCAUCUCUUGCACAUUUUGCCUCUCCAGUAUCUCUUGAGAAUUUCACCUUUCUAGCAUCUCUCCAGUAUCCUCUCCUCUGACACUGCCACCAGUGGUACCCUCAUCACCUGACACCUAAACUACUGCAAAGCUGCUGGUGGGUCUGCCUGCCUUGUGUCUUCAUACUUCAAUUCAUCAUUCAAACACCAAAGUAAUUUUCCUAAAGCACAGAUCCAACUAUGUCAUCCUUCUACACUCAACAAACUCCAGUGACUCCUUAUUGCCUGUAAGAAUGAAAAUUUCUCUUUUGGCAUUCAAACCCUUUUAUGACCUAGUCCCCUUCUAUCUUUUCAGUCUUCUUACACCUUACUCCCCACAUGUACUCUUUAAUCCAGUAAUACUGAACUCCUGGCUAUUUUGUGAACCAGACCCUCCAUUUCUUGGCUUUAGGUAUUUUCACUGCCUGUUCUUUCAAAUCUGGAACAUUCUUCUUCCCCCUCUCUGCCUACUGGCUCCCAUCAAGUUCCAACCAAAAUCCCAUUUUUGGAGAAAGCCUUUCCAAAUUCCUCUUAAUUCUAGUGCCUUCCCUCAGUUUAUUAUUUACUAUUUUUCCUAUAUGGAGGGCUUGAUUUGGAUAAAUUUUAUUUACAUGUUGUCUCUCUCAUUAGACUGCAAGCUCUAAAGACAGAGCUUAUCUUUUGUCUUUUUUUGUAUCCCUCAUACUUAGCAUAGUG